rnacentral:misc_RNA from 1 species
GUAGGUGAACCUGCGGAAGGAUCAUUAUUGAAAUCCUUAGGAUGUUGCUGGCCUUUCGGGGCAUGUGCACUCCGCCUUUUCAAUUCACCUGUGAACUUAUUGUAGGCCGGACUCUCAAGUCUGUGUCUAUGUUUUUAUAUACCCCUUUAAAAAGUUUAACAGAAUGUUAUAAUAGACCUUCAUGGUCGAAAUAAAUUAAUACAACUUUCAACAAUGGAUCUCUUGGUUCUC